AUUGAACGCUGGCGGCAUGCCUUACACAUGCAAGUCGAACGGCAGCACGGGAGCAAUCCUGGUGGCGAGUGGCGAACGGGUGAGUAAAGUAUCGGAACGUGCCCAGUCGUGGGGGAUAACGUAGCGAAAGUUACGCUAAUACCGCAUACGAUCUAUGGAUGAAAGCGGGGGAUCGCAAGACCUCGCGCGAUUGGAGCGGCCGAUAUCAGAUUAGGUAGUUGGUGGGGUAAAGGCUCACCAAGCCGACGAUCUGUAGCUGGUCUGAGAGGACGACCAGCCACACUGGGACUGAGACACGGCCCAGACUCCUACGGGAGGCAGCAGUGGGGAAUUUUGGACGAUGGGCGAAAGCCUGAUCCAGCCAUGCCGCGUGCAGGAUGAAGGCCUUCGGGUUGUAAACUGCUUUUGUACGGAACGAAAAGGUUUGGCUUAAUAAGCUGAGCUCAUGACGGUACCUGACGAGGAAGCCACGGCUAACUACGUGCCAGCCGCCGCAGUAA
rnacentral:rRNA from 1 species